GACGAACGCUGGCGGCGUGCUUAACACAUGCAAGUCGAACGGAAAGGCCCUACUUUUGUGGGGUGCUCGAGUGGCGAACGUGUGAGUAACACGUGAUUAACCUGCCCUUGACUUUGGUAUAACUUCAGGAAACUGGUGCUAAUACCGGAUAGCAUCUCCUGCUGCAUGUUGGGGGUUGGAAAUUUUCGGCGGUUGGGGAUGGACUCGCGGCUUAUCAGCUUGUUGGUGGGGUAGUGGCUUACCAAGGCGUUGACGGGUAGCCGGCCUGAGAGGGUGACCGGCCACAUUGGGACUGAGAUACGGCCCAGACUCCUACGGGAGGCAGCAGUGGGGAAUAUUGCACAAUGGGCGGAAGCCUGAUGCAGCGACGCCGCGUGCGGGAUGACGGCCUUCGGGUUGUAAACCGCUUUCGGCUGGGACGAAGCGUGAGUGACGGUAAUGGGUAAAGAAGCACCGGCUAACUACGUG
rnacentral:rRNA from 1 species